UACGGGGGGGGCAAGCGUUGUUCGGAAUUACUGGGCGUAAAGGGCUCGUAGGCGGUCUGUUGCGUCGGGAGUGAAAACUUACAGCUUAACUGUGAGCGUGCUUCCGAUACGGGCAGACUUGAGGUAUUCAGGGGAGAACGGAAUUCCUGGUGUAGCGGUGAAAUGCGCAGAUAUCAGGAGGAACACCGGUGGCGAAGGCGGUUCUCUGGGAAUAUCCUGACGCUGAGGAGCGAAAGUGUGGGGAGCGAACAGG
rnacentral:rRNA from 1 species